rnacentral:lncRNA from 1 species
UUGAAUCAUCUUAACUUUCUCAGUAGUCUGUUGGACAAUCUCUGGUCCUAAGACCAUUCUUUCACCUGACUCAAACCAACACAACGGAGUUCUGCAUCUCCGACCAUACAAAGCCUCAAAAGGUGCCAUUCCAAUACUAGAAUGAUAACUAUUAUUGUAUGUGAACUCGAUCAACGGAAGAUGACUAUCCCAAGUUCCUCCUUGCUCAAGCACACAAACUCUCAACAAAUCCUCUAGCGACUGAAUUGUCCUCUCCGACUGAC